rnacentral:misc_RNA from 1 species
GAUGAAGAACGCAGCGAAAUGCGAUAAGUAAUGCGAAUUGCAGAAUUUCAGUGAGUCAUCGAAUCUUUGAACGCACAUUGCGCCCUUUGGUAUUCCGAAGGGCAUGCCUGUUCGAGCGUCAUUAUCACCCCUCAAGCCCUCGGCUUGGUGUUGGACGGUUUGGUGGAGGCCCCCUCGGGGGCUCCUGCCCCUCCCAAAGACAAUGACGGCGGCCUCGUUGGACCCCCGGUACACUGAGUUCUUCACGGGACACGUAUCGGACACAUGGGUUUACGGGACACGGUCUGCCUCCCCUCAGGGAGAAUCUUUCUAAGGUUGACCUCGGAUCAGGUAGGGAUACCCGCUGAACUUAAGCAUAUCAAUAAGCGGAGGA